rnacentral:rRNA from 1 species
AUUGAACGCUGGCGGCAGGCCUAACACAUGCAAGUCGAGCGGAUGAAGGGAGCUUGCUCCUGGAUUCAGCGGCGGACGGGUGAGUAAUGCCUAGGAAUCUGCCUGGUAGUGGGGGAUAACGUCCGGAAACGGGCGCUAAUACCGCAUACGUCCUGAGGGAGAAAGUGGGGGAUCUUCGGACCUCACGCUAUCAGAUGAGCCUAGGUCGGAUUAGCUAGUUGGUGGGGUAAAGGCCUACCAAGGCGACGUUCCGUAACUGGUCUGAGAGGAUGAUCAGUCACACUGGAACUGAGACACGGUCCAGACUCCUACGGGAGGCAGCAGUGGGGAAUAUUGGACAAUGGGCGAAAGCCUGAUCCAGCCAUGCCGCGUGUGUGAAGAAGGUCUUCGGAUUGUAAAGCACUUUAAGUUGGGAGGAAGGGCAGUAAGUUAAUACCUUGCUGUUUUGACGUUACCGACAGAAUAAGCACCGGCUAACUUCGUG